rnacentral:tRNA from 1 species
GGGGUUAUAGUGUAAUGGCAACACACGGAGCUCCAGACUCCGGAACGGGGGUUCAAAUCCCUCUGACCCCA